rnacentral:rRNA from 1 species
UACGGGGGGGGCAAGCGUUGUUCGGAAUUACUGGGCGUAAAGGGCUCGUAGGCGGCCAACUAAGUCGGAUGUGAAAUCCCCAGGCUUAACCUGGGAACUGCAUCCGAUACUGGAUGGCUUGAAUCCGGGAGAGGGAUGCAGAAUUCCAGGUGUAGCGGUGAAAUGCGUAGAUAUCGGGAGGAACACCGGUGGCGAAGGCGGGUCUCUGGGCCGAUACUGACGCUGAGGAGCGAAAGCGUGGGGAGCGAACAGG